rnacentral:rRNA from 1 species
GGUGCAGCAGGCGCGAAAACUUUGCAAUACACGAAAGUGUGACAGGGUCAUCCCGAGUGCCGACCGCUGAGGUUGGCUUUUACCCAGUCUAGAAAGCUGGGGGAAUAAGGAGAGGGCAAGUCUGGUGUCAGCCGCCGCGGUAAUACCAGCUCUCCGAGUGGUGUGGACGUUUAUUGGGCCUAAAGCAUCCGUAGCUGGCUGAACAAGUCCCCUGUUAAACCCACCGAUUUAAUCGUUGGUCUGCGGGGGAUACUGCUCGGCUAGGGGACGAGAGAGGCAGACGGUAUUCCCGGGGUAGGGGUGAAAUCCUAUAAUCCCGAGAAGACCACCAGUGGCGAAGGCUGUCUGCUAGAACGCGCCCGACGGUGAGGGAUGAAAGCUGGGGGAGCGAACCGGAUUAGAUACCCGGGUAGUCCCAGCUGUAAACGAUGCAGACUAGGUGUUUGGACGGCCACGUGCCGUUCUAGUGCCGCAGGGAAGCUGUUAAGUCUGCCGCCUGGGGAGUACGAUCGCAAGAUUGAAACUUAAAGGAAUUGGCGGGGGAGCAC